UGACCCAUGGUGUAAGGGUAGCACAUCAGAUUUUGGUUCUGCUAGUCUAGGUUCGAAUCCUAGUGGGUUAACAA
rnacentral:tRNA from 1 species